GAAAAAUAAUUGUUUCUCCAGCACCUUCUGAAGAAGACCCACUUUCCUGCACAAGCCAAACCAGCUAAGACAGUAAGGAUCUGACGAAUCCUAAAAGAACAGAAUGUCUUGUUCAUUUACAUACAGUAAACACAUGUUUCAUCCAAACACAAUUGUGAAAUAGUUUUGAAAUCCUUCUUUCAUUGCAGUUUGGAGAUUGUUGGCUAACAAGACUCCCAGAAGGUUUUAUUGUCUCUUGUUUACAUGGGAGGAUCAAAUUACAAAAAAAAAAUGUUUUGGAAAUAUAAUUUGUGUUUUGUUUCCGGAGUGCUUUAUUUCCGUUGAUCUAGUAUUUCUAAGAUUAAGCAUCAGGAACCUCCAGGAUCCUUCCAGCACAAACUUAUGCUUUAAAGAAAGACAUGCAUAAAAUCUGGCACACAUAAUGAUAGUCUGUCUUUAUCACCACAGUCGAGAUAAAAUUUAGAAGCUGGAAACACGGCUGUCUAGCAGUCAUAAUUCUGUCUGCAUUUAUCUGGCACCAGCUUCCCUUACUCCUUAUUAUGAUUCAUUCUCCAUUUAAUUCUCCAAAUAUUUUCUUAGAUUGAGUACCUGUAGUACUAAUGCCUGACAUGCAGAGUAAUUCUAAUUCUGGCCACUUAUGACAGUAGGUGGAGGCUUUGCAAGACUUCACAGAAUCAAAUCCAAAAGACAAAACUGGCACAGAUUGUAAAGUCAUCAUGGCAGCAGCAAAAUGAAUUUCCAUGAAAAGAUGUCUUGGAGAAAAGUCUGCGUACGUCAGGAAGCAAAAUCUCAAAGUUUUCCAGCAAUGGAUGCUGCAGAGCAUUCAAGGAAUCAAGGCAUGCCCAAAGGAAAACCAAAACAAACCAAAACUAAUCAGGCUAGAUAUAAGCCUUUACUUAAAAUACAGAGUUUAGUUUUGAAAUAGAUGUAAGUAUAACAAGCUUGGUGGUCUCUCCUGGAUGCCUGGGGGUCAGGGAAAGCCACACCAUCAGAACCUGGUCUGACAGAGGCCAACCCUUGUGUACUCUGCCGAGAGUGUUACAGCACAAAGAGAGUAAAACUGGGAAGGAGGCAGGAGAUGCAGCAAGGCACAACAUUUUUCAUCUUCAGAAGUAAUGCUUUGUAAUUCCUGCAAUGAAUUGCACUGAUGAGCUUGAAGAGAUCUGUUAAUGAAUUCCUUAACUCACAUAAUAUCCUUCUGUCAUAGCAGUAUUAAACUGAUGCACAAACAAGUAAACUGAGAAGCUGUGGAAGCCCAACAGGAUGAGGGAUGAAGCAGCACCUCCCAUCCUGAGCAUGACCUCAGGAACGUGCACACCAGCGUCAUCAGGAGCAAGACAACUGGGCCAAUGCUCCCCUCUCCCCUUCCAUUCCUCUCCUGCUCAUCUGUUCCCCUCUGGUCCUGCAAAUUCCAGCUUUUUGCUUUUGGUUGGCUGUAAACCAGAGUGGGUCAGAGCACCUACAAUAUGGUUUAGUGAGCAUGGCACCAACCUUUGAGCAUCAAUGGUCCCUGAAGUAUGUGUGUAUUAUGAGAAAAUCUACCCCAGUCUAGCUCAUGGCCACACCAGCCAGUUAUCAUAAUCAGCAUUCAAAAAUCCCAAACUAGAACAAUAUCAAUGUGGUAAAAGAAAUAAUUUUAUGAUUUGCCUUUACCCAGAGACUAUAUCAUAAAAUCAGCACCAAAAUUCAUUUGUUUCUACUUAAAUUUUAAUCCUGUGCUUCCUUUUCUUUGUGAAUAAAACAUCCACUAAGUAUUGAGGGAACAUCAUGAGUCAGAGGAAGCUUGCAUGGGGCUCUCAGUGUGCAGUACAGUACUAUUGUUUUAAAGUCAUCAGCUUGGGAAGGCUAUCACCACAUUUGGAAUGACUUCCAAAGCCACAAAAAGUAGAAUUUAGCCACGACUAGCCCUUUCUGUCUACUAAACAUAAUUGCAAGACUGAUUAUUUUUAUAUUAUUUUUAUUUGUAAUAGUAAUCAGGAAUGAAACGAUGGAAACUGUAGCACAGUUACGGUGUAUGCAGAAUCAAUGAUGGAUCAUAUACAAAAAUUAUUUUGAUCAUUCAAGACAAGUGGGAGCCAAGCAAAUCAGAAAGACAUAAGAAUUUUCAACACUUGGUCUGUAUGUGCAGGUCCUUACAGAAGAACAGUAAUUUAAAAAUCUGUUACUGUCUGCUACAAUUUCACACUUGAGAAAUUGGUGUCAAUAUUUUUUUCUGGAAAGGACCUUGUGUUGUGAGUCAGUAUUUGAUUCAAAGUGUACUUAAUUAGAGUAAAUCAUUGCUGCAAAUUGCAAUGAGUUGUAAUUCAGAUAGAAAUAAUGAAACUCAAAAGUAGUUUGAUUUCUAGCUCAUGAUCAGCUUCAGAGGUGCUUUCUAAAAGAGGUCAUUCCAGGAAGUCCUUAAGGGAGUACUGGGGUUAAAGAUAGUCUAAGAUUUUCUAAAGGGUUUUUUUUUAUUGGCAAGAGGUAGAAAAGUCAAAUCAAAGAGUCUCUUUUUGUCACAGAAAUAUUCUCAGUACAAAAGCUUCACUCAGAGAAAACAGUGUGGAUAUGUACUCAUUCCCUAGCAGAUCAGAUGUGUGGAACUGGCCCUAUUGUCAAUAAAAAUCUUUCCUGACAAUGGCUGCAAUUUACUACUUCUCACAGCCGAGAAACCGUGUGGCUAGAGGGACUAGUAUGGGCAGAUGGAGCUCCUGUCUGCAUACUUCCAUUAUUAUUUUACUGUACCUAUAUUAAACAACCCCAAAAUUUCAACCCUGGUUGUAGUCAUAUUCAAAAGAUAAAGGUUAGGCCCUAAAUUCAAAAUUAUUUUCAAAGAAAAUAAAAGCUGGGAGGUUUUCAUUAUACCUCUCUUGUUUUACUUUUUACACGGUGUUAACACUGUGCAACAACUUCACCAUGGACUUACUGAACCAUAGACUCAUUUGCAAUGCAGCAGCUCAGCAGCAAUUCAUUUCUGCUUUACUUAAACUCUAAUAUUUUUUUUUUAGCCUGGCAGGACAGAAAUAGAGCCCCAUUCUAUUUUAGAGACAUAACAGAGAAGGCCACUUAUUGCACAUGCCUCAAAAACUGGCUAGUUUUGACUAACACCAUAAUAUUGUGCAGAUCUAGGCAUUUUAUCUCCCCUGCUGGAAUAAUUUCAGAUUUACCUUUAGUUGAUCUACCACUCUUGGAGCCUUAGCUGUACAGAUAAUUGUAGCCUGUGAGCAAAAAUUAAAACAGGGUAAAACUACACAGAAUGCCAACCAUAAUAUGAAAGGAAGCCUUCAACUUAACUUCUCAUCUCUGUGGCACAUGAGAAUAUCUUGUCCCUGCAGGGGGUGUGACACACACCAUGUACAUCAAAGCCAAAGAUGGAUCACCCAGUAGGUUCUGAAAUGAAAGAGGCACCAUAUCACUGCUGAUUGCUCAUGGUCACUCCACAAAAAUCUCUGUUCAGUAUUAUCCCUUUUAUUAUUUUUAUUGUAAGAAAAAGAGAACACUGAAGAGGGAGCACUUGCAAUAUCCCAUCUGGGAAACAGCAGCUUUGUGGGUGCUGGGUGCUCAAGCUCACCCAAGACUGAGCUCAUCCAAGUAACCCUUGCUGUAAGCUUUCCCAACCCUGUUUUAUAUAGAAAUGUUCAGUUCCUUCCCUUCUUGUUAAGCUUCUUUUUUGCUUGGUUUAACAGCCAAGCAGCCUAACCUAACCCAGGGACAGCUGUGUUGCACACCAGAGAGGGCACAGAACAGUUGGGUGACAAGACCAGGCAGACACAGGCCAGAGCAGCCGUGCAGGAUUGCUCUGUGCCUGUGCCCUGUGGGAGGCAGGCAGGGCACAGAGACAGGCUCUGCUCUGGCCUAACAGCUGGCUCGUGCCUAAGAGCGGACCAAAGCCUCACACAAAAUAAUUCAUAUCAAGGACCAUGGGGAAUUGUCUUUCUUGAUACAUGAUGCUUGGUUCUUAUGUUUUUUGGGUUCAAUACCUACUAAUAAUCUCUUCAGUAAUUUGCUAGAGUAGCCUCUGAAUACUCUAGGCUUCUUUAUGGUUUUACUUGUUUUUCAUCUUAUUCACAUUGCUUUUUCUCUUUGACUUUCUGUUUUUCAGUGUUUGUUAUGGUAUCACAGGCGUCACCCAGAAAUCAGUGCCUCACUCAGGCGUUACAUAACAGUUACAGCAGAUAUUGCUGAGGUUUCCCACUGUUUACAAAUCAAACUCGGUUUGCUCUUCAUGUUUUCCAGUACACAAUUGUCAGUUUACAAAUGAAAACUGAGUCAUUUUUGCCAAGCCAUCAUCUUUCCACUCGCUGUAUCCUAGUCCCAAGUGACAGGGAGCACACAGCAAGAGCAGCCUCACCAGAAAGGGCAGAAAUCGGCUGCUGUCAAAGAGGGAAGUUGUUUUAACUUGAUGUAAGUGGUUAUGAAGUUAUUUCAAUGCUACUAAUAAGUCUUUUAAUUUAGCAGUGUUGAUGCAGGGUUAUUUUUUAAACUGGUUGUUUUCCUUUCAAUUUUCAACAUCCAUUACUAAGACCUAAAUCUUUGGCCACGGUAAACUCACUUCUCUGACUUCCCUAAAAUUACACAUGCUGUGGCCUCCACCCCAAAUCUACAGCCAUGCAUUUAUAAAUGAUGCUUUCAAUUAAAGUUUAAAAGUGAAAAAAGCUGGUUUGGUUUUGCUUUUGCCUCCUGUAUCCUAACCUGAAGGUGUCACAGAGCAAUUGGGUAGUGAUCCUGAGCAACUAACUUCUGGGCCAAAUCCCAUCUCUUUCCUGAAGAUUUACCUCUCUUAGUCUGUCCUUUGCCAGCCCUGGCAUGGUCCUUCUAUGUGCAUGUGCUUUGGAAAAGGGGCCAGGUGACACAGAGGGGAAGAAAUGUGGGUUAUGCAGAGCAUUAUUCUCUUGAUGUCAGAAUUUCCCAGUGUACGCUGUAGAGCCAAGGACCUGUUUCUCACAUAUCACAGCUCUCCCUCUAAAAAUUUAAAGCCAUGAGCAAUAAUUUUCUUACUCAAUACUUUUCCAGGCCAUGGUAGAAGAGUCUGUCCAAAGAACCAGUGUGUGAAUCUGCUCGCAGACACCCCUUCACUCGCUCCUGUGUAUUUCCAAAGGGGACAGAAAUGAUGCAGCACCAGCACCACUACCCUGCCCUUUGGGUGAUGGAUGUUAGCAGUCAUAAAUAAUCACUGAAUCCACGAGCACUAAGAGGAGCUCAUUCCUCUGCAGUCCCAAUAGUGUGUCACACCAUGAUCCAUUGCUGUGUCUCAUAGAAAUGAAUUGGCCUUUUCUCUUUUUGUUCCUCCACAUUACCAGCCAUUAGCAUUUCCCUGCAAUGGAUUUUAUAAUCAGGUUAGGUGACUAUUCUUCACAGGAUUGGUUUCAGACUUUCCAAGGCACAGUGGAGGAGGAAGGUUGUCACACAGAGAGCUUCACUAUUGCUGUAAUGCCUUCCAGGCUGCAGUGAACUGAAAUGUUUUCAUUUUAACAGCUUACCUUUGAAAGAGCAAUUUCACCUUCUGAGUUGCUAAUGAAAUAACUACAAUCGUGCCAAACUGAGGCUCAUACUGCACUCUAAAAAGAGACAAGGACCAGCUGUGUUUGACAUUUUGGCUUCCACUUACAAAAGGGUUUCCUUCUCAGCUCCCAGAUCUUUGCACGAAUAAGCAAAGCUGCAAUUGCACAGCUUUGAGACCCCAGCAUCCUUGUGUGUUAUGCAUUUUUCUCAGGGUUUGCCCUGAGGCUGCAUGGAGGAAAAGUAAAAAGUGACAGAUUGAAAUAGAUGUCUUGAUACUGUUCUUUAAGAUGAUGACAAGAUGUUUGAAGUUAAAUGUGACCAGUUCAGGGACAUUGAACAUUCACUCCACCUGAAUGCUUUGUUUGGUUAAGGUUUUGCUUUGUUUUCUUUACUUUCCAAACUUUUACUUUUACUUUCCAAACUUUUACUUUUACUUUCCAUAGUCAUCCAUACUUGGAUGACUAUGAAGUCAUCCAAGAAGCCUUGGAUGACUUCAUAGGAUCUUACAAAAAAAAAAAAACAGCUCCACUUUACACCCAUACAAUAACUGUAUUAAUGAAAUUUUUCCCUUUUCUACUGUGAUAAAACCAUUCAGCAUCAUCCUUAUCAAUUUCCAUGUUGCACUAAACUACCUUAGAGAGGAAAAAUAAAUUGCUCCAAGUAUUUUGCCAUUAAAAGUAACCAAAUGGGGCUUUAGGUCACAGCAGUGUUUUAUCUGAGUGACUCAUUUCAAUCUUCCUGACACACACUUCACUCUCUUCUCUGUUGUGCCUGAGCAGAACUGUUAAUGGGCCUUUGCAAAAGAUCUUUAACAUUUCCUAAUGUAUUUCCCCUGCUCCUCACCUCAUUUUAUUCCUUUUCAAAUUAUUUCUUCUUGUACAUACUCAGAACAUCUUGUGAACUUUUGGUUUCUGUGUUCAUCAGUGACACACAUGGCUGAAAUGCACUCAUUUGACAUUCUGCCCCAACCACUGACAUCCAAUAGGCAGCCAUACCCUGCUGCAUGCAACUGUCGGAAGAUGAUCAAUUGCAUUGCCUAAUCUUUUCUCAUGAUCCACGUUGCAAUUUUCUUUGUGGCACAGCCUCCCCUCCAGCAGCACCACCUCUGUAGCAAUCCACUUUGCACUGCCCUCAAAAUGCAGCCAUAGCAAAGUUUGAUUGUUGCCUGAGGUAAUACAUUGGGCAAUGAAAAUUUUGCCUGUCCUGAGCACUUCAGCCUCAGAUCAGCAGUGUGUCAAAAAUAUUCACCUUUAUGGCUUCAUCUGACACCAGAUGUCUUGAACUGAGAAAUGGUCAGUGUUCUCACAUGGUCUGCAGGAUUUCAGUUGACACGAUGCAGCCCUGCCCUGCUCUCAGGUAGUGCCACCCCCCAUUUGCAGAAGCCAGGCCCAGCCCUGGUACCCAGCUGUGUCACAAACAGCUGCUACACAGUGUUGGAGGAGGCAACAGAAAUU
rnacentral:lncRNA from 1 species